GUGGUGCUUUGGUGGCGGAGGAGAUGCGUACUUGUAGCUUGGUGGAGGCGGGGGUGACAAGUAUUUGUAAACAUGACGAGGAGGAUGUGGCGGUGGCGGUGAUAUAUAUCUGUAAGGAGGAGGUGGUGGAGACUUGAACAUAUGAGGUGGUGGUUGUGGUGGUGACUUGUGGUGCCUAGGGGUUGGUGGAGGUGAUAUAUAUCUGUAAGGAGGAGGUGGUGGAGACUUGAACAUAUGAGGUGGUGGUUGUGGUGGUGACUCGUGGUGCCUAGGGGUUGGUGGAGGUGGUGAUCUGCAGGUAUAUACAGGAGGUGGAGGACUAUACUUGCAUUUAUGAUGUGGAGGUGGUGGAGAUUUGUACUUGUGAGGUGGUGGUGGUGGAGAUUUG
rnacentral:lncRNA from 1 species